AAAUGUUGAUGAUGACAACCCCAAAGGCUUUUUUCUCUAACAUUUGCAGUGGCCAUCUAAGAGCUUUCGCCUUUGCUGGGCUUGAGAGCUAGUGUUGCUCAUUAAUUCCUUGAAUGUCUGAAAUU